GACGAGCGGCGGACGGGUGAGUAAUGCCUGGGAAUUUGCCCAUUUGUGGGGGAUAACAGUUGGAAACGACUGCUAAUACCGCAUACGCCCUACGGGGGAAAGCAGGGGACCUUCGGGCCUUGCGCUGNAUGGAUAAGCCCAGGUGGGAUUAGCUAGUAGGUGAGGUAAAAGGCUCACCUAGGCGACGAUCCCUAGCUGGUCUGAGAGGAUGAUCAGCCACACUGGGACUGAGACACGGCCCAGANUCCUACGGGAGGCAGCAGUGGGGAAUAUUGCACAAUGGGGGGAAACCCUUGAUGCAGCCAUGCCCGCGUGUGUGAAGAAGGCCUUUCGGGUUGUAAAGCACUUUCAGCGAGGAGGAAAGGGUGUAAGUUAAUACCUUACAUCUGUGACGUUACUCGCAGAAGAAGCACCGGCUAACUCCGUGCCAGCAGCCGCGGUAAUACGGAGGGUGCGAGCGUUAAUCGGAAUUACUGGGCGUAAAGCGUGCGCAGGCGGUUUGUUAAGCGAGAUGUGAAAGCCCCGGGCUCAACCUGGGAACCGCAUUUCGAACUGGCAAACUAGAGUCUUGUAGAGGGGGGUAGAAUUCCAGGUGUAGCGGUGAAAUGCGUAGAGAUCUGGAGGAAUACCGGUGGCGAAGGCGGCCCCCUGGACAAAGACUGACGCUCAGGCACGAAAGCGUGGGGAGCAAACAGGAUUAGAUACCCUGGUAGUCCACGCCGUAAACGAUGUCUACUCGGGAGUUUGGUGUCUUGAACACUGGGCUCUCAAGCUAACGCAUUAAGUAGACCGCCUGGGGGAGUACGGCCGCAAGGGUUAAAACUCAAAUGAAUUGACGGGGGGCCCGCACAAGCGGUGGAGCAUGUGGUUUAAUUCGAUGCAACGCGAAGAACCUUACCUACUCUUGACAUCCACAGAACUUUUCAGAGAUGAAUUGGUGCCUUCGGGGAACUGUGAGACAGGUGCUGCAUGGCUUGUCGUCAGCUCGUGUUGUGAAAUGUUGGGUUAANUCCCGCAACGAGCGCAACCCCUAUCCUUACUUGCCAGCGGGUAAUGCCGGGAACUUUAGGGANACUGCCGGUGAUAAACCGGAGGAAGGUGGGGACGACGUCAAGUCAUCAUGGCCCUUACGAGUAGGGCUACACACGUGCUACAAUGGUCAGUACAGAGGGUUGCGAAGCCGCGAGGUGGAGCUAAUCCCAUAAAGCUGGUCGUAGUCCGGAUUGGAGUCUGCAACUCGACUCCAUGAAGUCGGAAUCGCUAG
rnacentral:rRNA from 1 species